AAGUCGUGAUGUGGGUAAGGUCUCAUCAUAUCUUUGUACCUUUCAGAGGCAUAAAAGAGAGAUUCUUUAUCAGCUUGUCUGAAGUAAGUGAUUUAAUUUCUUAAAAU